rnacentral:misc_RNA from 1 species
AACGCACAUUGCACCUAUUAGCAUUCUAGUAGGUAUGCCUGUCCGAGCGUCAUUUCAACCCUCAGUUCGGCCUCGGCCGUACUGGUGUUGGGGCUGCCGCGGCCCACCCGGCCGCGGGCCCCGAAAGCUAUCGGCGGUGCCUGCCAGCACUCCGGGCGCAGUAAUACCCCUCGCCCUGGACGUCUGGCGGCGCGCCCGCCGCUAAACACCCCAAUCUUCAAGGUUGACCUCGGAUCAGGUAGGAAUACCCGCUGAACUUAA